AUUGAACGCUGGCGGCAGGCCUAACACAUGCAAGUCGAACGGUAACAGGAAGCAGCUUGCUGCUUUGCUGUCGAGUGGCGGACGGGUGAGUAAUGUCUGGGAAACUGCCUGAUGGAGGGGGAUAACUACUGGAAACGGUAGCUAAUACCGCAUAACGUCGCAAGCCCAAAGUGGGGGACCUUCGGGCCUCUUGCCAUUCGCUUUUCCCAGAUGGGAUUAGCUAGUAGGUGGGGUAACGGCUCACCUAGGCGACGAUCCCUAGCUGGUCUGAGAGGAUGACCAGCCACACUGGAACUGAGACACGGUCCAGACUCCUACGGGAGGCAGCAGUGGGGAAUAUUGCACAAUGGGCGCAAGCCUGAUGCAGCCAUGCCGCGUGUAUGAAGAAGGCCUUCGGGUUGUAAAGUACUUUCAGCGGGGAGGAAGGGAGUAAAGUUAAUACCUGUGCACAUUGACGUUACCCGCAGAAGAAGCACCGGCUAACUCCGUG
rnacentral:rRNA from 1 species